AUUGCAGCAUUGGACUUUUAUUCAAGUUUGUGCCAAGCACAUAUAUAUGAUGUUUCUUCCAGGAAAAUAUUGAAUUGAUUCCUGAGUCUAAAAAAGCUAACCAUGGGUAUUGGCUAGGAAUUCUGGGAGAAAUUUGACCAGAUAAAGGACUCACGUUCUGCUCCUCAGCCCGCGUAAAGGACGUGACAUAAUGUUCAUCUGAAGGGCUGCUAUCCACAGUCAUCGUGACUGACCACUCUAGCAUGAGACCUCAACCGUGACGGGGAGAGAGAGGUUUUUUUGUUCUGAUGAGUCAAACUGGAAGGGCACAUGUCCAGGAGCUCAGUGAGAAACUCCAGGCCCAUGACCGCCCAAAGCCUGAAUGAAUCCAGGCAAGAAAGCAAUCAAGUGCUGGGGAAGAUGAAGAGGUGAUGCUUUGAACUGAACUCCAGAGACCUCGGAAGUUUAUCAUCACGAAGAGACAAAGCGCAUUGUUUUUAAUAAGGACCAGCGCAAACCCUAGCUGUGAUCAGAAUCAUUAGACUUUCUGGAGACAAAGUGGGUGUCUCCCCCGUGCUGAGUUGUGAUUUUCAUGUGCAAAUACAUACUCCAUCA